GCAAUUCACAGUGGUUAAUAAAUUCGAAUGCUGCUGCACUGCCGAUUGGCCGCUACAGCGCCCCGUAGUUGAUGACGUCACCCGCCUAACGCUUGACGUUAUCCGUAUCCGAUGAGAUGAAGUCAAGUUUCGCGCCGGAAGAUAACGGCUGGGAGUAAAAAUUGCGAUUUCAGCAUUGGAGAUCCUCUAAGUCCUACUUAUCACCAAUCAAUUACCUCAAAUGAAAAGUUACCUCGCCAUUAUUGCUCAAAAAGACUGGAAGGAGUCCUGUUGAGGAUUUAGAUUCCUCCUCUUUUGAAAAGUGCAACCGAUUGAAGUUAUAAAGGGCUCUGGGGUGUUUUGCCAGGCAGAAGUGUGGAAAGCAGCCCUCCUUGCCACCUCUGCUACUGCCAUGGUGUGGAAUCUGCUGCUGGGCACAUUUGAUCUGGAGACUUUGCUGAAAAACAACCUGAAUGGUGGGAAGCCAACCAGAGGGAUGGGGAG